GUGAUCCUGGCCGUCUGUCCUGGGGACACAGACACUGACUGUGGCUGAGUCACAUCAUAGGAGGCCGCAGAGCCUGCAAAGGAAAAGAAAGAAAAAAAGUAGAGGUUAACUUGCAGGGGAUAUAAAGUCCUUUCUAUGGGAUAGAGUUUGGCUGUGGUUCAAGAGGUUGCCAGAGUCACAGUGGUGAAAGGGGAAUUAUCUGGGGUCCACAGUCCCCUCAUCCAUUCCAUCCUUGCUAAGGAGGUAGGUGGUUAGCUUUUUUCUGCUUCUCUAAUAAUGUCCUGAUUAUAAAUAUUUUAUGUCAGACAUGAGACGUACGGUAUAGGCGAAAUCCGUUUUGAAGUCACAUUCGAGAGCCCAAUGCAGGGACCCUCUUCAUUCUCACUCAUGUCCAAGACACAUCCAGAGCCCAAUGCAGGGACCUUUUCAUCUCCCUCAGGGGACAGCACAAGCCUUGGAUAGGUGCAGGCCCCACUCCAGGGCACAGCACUUUUGUCCUAGAGGAGAAUGCAAUCCUUGGUUGCCAAGGGCACACAGAAUUUUGGAAGAUCCAUGGGAUGCAGUAAGUUUCUGCCUCAGCUGUGAGUUCUAGUGUCAAGUCAUGGGUGCUGUGCCUCAGUAUCCCCAGGGUGCUGUCAGGACCAGGGACAGAUCAGGAGGCAAAGGAAAUUUUUGCUUCAUGAGAGAAUGAGAGGGGGCUGCAAACCCCAAGGCCCAGGAAACGAAUGUUUAUUAUAACUAAGUUGUCUUCAGUUGCUGGGAAAAUGUAUGGAUGUAUACAAACUUCAGUCAACAAAAGAUUACUGAGUAAGUGUUUUGUGCUCAUAAGGAAAUCAAGAAAUGUGAAUUGGCAGGUUCCCCAGAACAGAGUCGGGGAAGACUGGGAACAGUGGACGUUGAGGGGUAGCCAGGGAAGGAGAAGCCGCUGUGUCUGCAGGAUAAGGGCUCCCCAAGCAAGGGCAGGGAUGUGGGACACGUGUGAAUACAGGAUGGGAUGACAUGUGUGACUGUGAGAUGGGGGCCAGGGCGAUGGGAAGAGGCAAAGUGCCUGAAUCUGUGUCGGUAAAAUAGGAUCGUCUCCAAGAGUCAGAUCUGAGAACCAGGAAGUCAGAAUUUAAACAUCGGUGUCAGGGACAAAUACUAUAAGAAAAAAGGAACUUCAUUCCCUCCGGAUCUCAGGUCGUGGUCGCUGACCCUCCCAGUAUGUGAACAUCUCCGUGAUGCCAGGCCCACCCCAUCCAGAGGUGUUUUUGUCAGGUUACUCUCUGCUGCCCCCUCGUGGCCACCUACGCUGGCUACUGGAGGCUCAGGGCCCUCCUGGGUACAGGUGUUGCUUCAGAUUCUGCUGCUCAAGUCCCUGAUUCCUUCAUUCAUGGACUGCUGACCUCAGGGAAGAAAUUCCUCUUCUCUGUGUGGCCCCUUCCUGCCUCAAGACCCAGCACAAGGCGCUCAAGAUUCCUGAUGGAAAUACAAACACUUUAUGUAGUAGUGGAGGUUCCAGGUGUCCUAAAGUGCAUCAGGAGAAACAUCGGUUGAAGCAGAAGGCAGAGAAAUGUCACCUAUGGUAUGACUUUACCCAAGAGCCACACAAGGUAUUUUCUCAUGGAGCAAAUAGAUGAUACUCACACGCAGGUGACCUUGCACAGGUAUGACUGAGUCAUUCCAGGUCAGAUAUGAGCUGAGCAAGUUUGCUUCCCAGUGACCAAGGUGGUUUCUGUCCCGCUCACCCCUCUGAGAAGCUCCCUCUUUGCUCCUGGUUCUUCCUGCUGGGAAGAUGCUCUUUUUUGGGGGAAAUGCAGAGCUCGGCCUAUCAUGGGAGAAUGAAGGGAUCUCGUCUGUGAGCUUUGAACCUCCCAGACUCACAGGUCCUUAUUCUUCUCUGGAUGCAAAAUUAUCAGGCAGCAGAAUAACAGAGCAACGGCCUCUUACCUGACCCAGGUUAUGCUGAAAAGGGUUUCCUAGUGCAAAUCUCCCAGACGGUCUCCAGGAGCCUGAGACUGGCUGAGUCAGUCCUCACUGAGGCCCAAGCAGCAGGGAAACGUGUGAAGCUUCCCUCUUAUGUCGUGGUUCAUCCAAAGAUUGAGUUUUCUUUGAAAUUCCAAAAUCCUGUCUCUUGAAAUUCGGAGCCUUGCAGAGAUGUGUUCACUGCUUCAAGUGGUGGAAAAGUCUCCAGAUGGAGGAGUUCCUGCAUCCAUCUGCACUUUCAAAAGUCUGUAAUUUAGAGGUCAGGCAUGUUUGUAGAGCAGAAGCUGUAAUAAAGUAGGUGUGGAAGAGUAUGUUAGAUAAGCAAGGGAGAUGGUGAGAGAGACCAUGAAAGCUUCCCAAUCCCCCUCACCUCUAACCCACAUGGUUCACAUCUCCCAGGAACAUACAGAUGAGGGGGCCAUGGACAGCAGAGACUGAGAGCUGGAAAUUCCAUAUUUGGGACCACAGGUUUCUUCAUCUUCCUGUUCCACCAGCAGAUCUAAUCCCCUUAUGCACAUCAGAGAUAAGGUGUCCUCAGCCACCAUCUAUCCCUCCAUGUGACUGAGGGUCCAACAGCUAUGAAUGACCUUUUUCUUGAGAAUCAAAUUUGGAUGUAGACUCAGCAGUGGAUAUGGUCCUCCCAAGCACAGGGAUCAUUCACAGUGAGCAGCACAGAAUCUGCCCCAUGGGCACACUGUGCACGGCUCCACAGCACACCCAGUUUAGCCCUACUGUGUGGAAACAGUGCUGCUGCCAACAGUGAACAAUGUCAUCAUGGGGGGUACUUUUUACAAAACUCUUCACAAGACUUGACAAAGGAUGCUGGUUUAGAAAUGCUGCCUGGAGACACCUGACCAUCAAAUAUGAACAUGAAGUUUGAGUAUUCUCCCUGACAACAAAUUAACAGCUUCAAUAGACAUUCCUGGAAAACUGGAAAUGUGUGACUUUGGACCAGACAGGAGAUCACUGUUAAUCAAAGAAAGAGUGAGAGAGACAAACAUAUAAUUGUAGCAUACAGAACAGAGAAAAUUGUGCUUAGUACAUAAUUCUUCCAUUUUUAACAGUUCUCUGCUUUCAAAAUUAAACUAGUAUUACCUUGCUUCCAGAGUAUGCAAUAUUUUUAUUAUGGUAAAAUAAACAUAACAAAAUAUUUCAUCCUUUUAUUCGUGUUUAAGUAUGUAAUUAAGUGGCAGUUAGUACAGUAGAAGUGUUGUGCAGUCAUCACCACUAUCUAACCCCAGAGCUUUUUCAUCAGUGCACACAAAACCUCUGUAUCUAUUAGACAGCUACUUUAGAAACUUUGGACAUUGUGGACAAAAUGACAAGUCUGUGAUAAAAAGAAAAUCCCAAGGAUGAACCAAAGACGGUGUUAGCACUUCAACCCCAGCUUCUGUGAAAUCUCAGCACAGUAGUGGGGGUAUUCCUCAUCUGGGAACCCGGAUGAGACGCAGUCCCUGGGGCCUUUUCUGGGCUGUUUCUUCCCAAGGAGCAGAGGAAUUUCAACAGGACUGUGACCUCUGAGACAGCUCUCUCCUCUCUGACAGUACAUGUGAUUAAAUCUGGGGUCCUCAUUUUCAGUUCACUGAACUGAUCUCUACAAUAGUUGAAGGAUCCUGGAAGAUGAAUUUGGAUUUGUACAGAUCCAGACAGGCAACAGUGGCAUUUGCAGUAUCUGUGCCAGAUGGGGAUCUCCUGGAACAGAAUGCUAUGGCUGCAGGUGCACAGUUACACCAUUGAAGCAGAUACUGAAUUCUUGUCUAUUCCCCUCAGAGACUAGGAUCAGAAUCAGUGUGCAUUCAUGUGGGAUGGACAACCGUAUACAUUCACACUUUUUCUGCCGAGCAUCAUUAGCUCUGCCUUCCCUGUCAUGAUAUCAUUAUGGGGGUUCAGACCAUCUGGACAUCAGAGUUGAAUCAGAUGUACAUCAUGGGCACGGCCUAUUGGAAGGUUUUGGGAGAUCCGCGCACUUUUGAGAGUGGGAAAUAAACUAAGAUGUUUCCUCUUUCAUAUUAGCUGAAAUUGGGAGUUUAGUUGUCUGGAGCAGCUGAGACUCUCCUACAACAUAAACAACAUGUUAUUAUACCCUUCAAUUCCUUCCAGGAAGAGAGAGACACAAGGUCUAUAAAGGUCUAGGAGUAGCAUAUUUUACACUUGGGGAUGUGACUCUGACCCAUAUCUCAGGAGCCAUAAAUAUUACCCAUUGUUUUCCAGGCUGAGAGCAUUGAGGCUCUGCAGCAGGUGCAGGCAGGGUUGUGAGUGCCCUGCUGUUGGGACCAGAGAAUCCAGCUGACUCUACCGUGGUAACUGAAACCUUCUGCACAUGGUAAACCCCACUGGAGAAUCCCAAUGUAGACUCCAGGGGUUUGGGAAGAAGGCCAUGUCAUGUGCAGUAGAGUAUUACUUCCCUUUGGAAAAACAGCUCCUCUUGUCUUACUGGGCCCUGGGAGAGACAGGAUAACACUGGACAUCAAGUGACCAUGUUGCCAAAACUGCCAGAUCCCCCCAGUUGUGAGCUCAGACAGGCUAGCAGUGAUCUCUGGUGAGAUGAAUGUGACACAUCUAAGGCAGAGCAGGGUCAGGGCUCCAGGACUCAGUCACCUGCAUAAACAGCUGGUCUACAUUUGUGUUCUCAUUUCCCUUCCACCAGUGCCUCUCCCUGGCUUCACACAUAUGUCUUACGGGUGGAGAUGGGGCUGAAGCAGGUUACUCCACAGCACUUGUCACGUUAAGGGGUAAGAUGAGACCAGCAUUGUACAAUCACAACUAGACUACUGUCUAGUCACCAUAUUAGACAUAAAAAAUAAAAAGGUAAAUCAGUUUCAAUAAUAUACUGUAUUUAACACAAAGUGUGACAAAUAAUAUUUACACAUGAACACAAUCUAAAAUUAUUUACGAGAUAUUUUAUGGACAUUUUCAUAGCUACUGUUACCAUUAUUAUUUUGGGGAGAUUCUUUAUGUUGGGAUUGUGUGGUUGAUGGAGGUUUGAAGGAGUCUGACUAACAAGGGUGACCUGUGCUGGCUUCGUAAGUGUCAACUUUGAUAAGCUGAAGGAGGGAUGAAAGCGUGAUUAUUUGUGCAUUAUGUGCAGGGUGGAGGUGAGCAGCAUCCAUCCUACAGCUGCCCCUGUGGGUGCAUCUCUGAUCUCUGCAUGGGGUGAUGGUGCUCCCCUUUCAGUGGAUUGCUUGCAGGAGAAUCAGACUCUACCUCUCCUUCAGGACUCCUAGAACCUUGUAUGUCAGGCUCCAUUUUCAUUUUCUAAGAAUACAAGGAACACUCGGAUAUAAAUGGCCAUUUGGGUGUUCACAAUGGAAAUUUGGUAAAUUUGCUCGUGUUUCCACAUCAGGUCUAUGGUAGUUCAUUUUGGUGACAGCUGGCCAUCUUAGUUUGGGUUCCCUGGAAGAAGACUCUGAGAUAAGGAUGUGCAUGCACAGAAGAUCUGGAAGGAGUGAGGGAGGCAUCACCCGCAGAAGGAGACCCUGGCCCACAAUAGGGUUGCAACGGAGGCCUCAGGCAUCCACGAUGGGAGGUCUGGAGCUGGAAGGCCUUUCAGUGUCAUCCUGUAUUAAGACAGGGACUUGGGUUCUUGGCUCAGGCAGUCAUCAAAUUAAAACUCUCAAAACUGGGUCUAAAUAUGAGGAAGGAAGUUUUCUGGAACUAAUAGCACUUCCCAGUGAGGGCACAGUUCUGAGCUCCUAGAAGCUCCCAGCAGUUGAGGGUGGCUGAGCUCAGAAAAGGGUAUUGAGGCUGAUCCCACAGUGUCCCCUCCUCUGCUUUUCUUGUUCAAGAUCCCAGGCUGCCGUGGAAGCCUGGAACCUCAGGUGUUGAGCUGAGGUGGACAGUUUUGGGGACUGAGGUAGGCUGUUUGGAAGAAGUGACCCAAUCACCAUCAUGUGGAAAUCUAAGGCCAAGUGAUGUUUCUCUACAUCUCUCUCAUCUUCCAUCCAGUUCUUACUUCCCCAAAUCACUCCAGAGGCCUAAAAACACCAUAAAUUCUGAUUAUAGCAGCCCUAAAUCUACUCCUGAUCCACCCUCUCCAGAGCCAACCUGGUUGGCUGGAUGAAAGGAUGGCCUGGAGGUCUCAGAUCCAGUAGAACUCGGCCAGACCUGCUCAUGGCUUGGUCCACAGUCUUCCUGGUGCUGGAGGAAGAACAUGACACAGAUGAAAAAGGGGUUUGUGUCUCACUUCUCCAUCUGCCUGUGUCACUGUGGGAUUGUUCUCAUUCCCAGAAAAACAGUAAUAGUCAGCCUCGUCUUCACUCAGGCUGCUGCUGAUGGUCAGGGUGUUUGUGUCCCCUGAGGUGGACCCAGAGAAUUGCUCAGGGAUUCCAGAGGGUCGCUUACUAUCUUCAUGUAUCACCAGCACAGGGGCCUGGCCGGGCUUCUGCUGGUACCAGUCAGCAUAAUUUUCCUUCAGUACAUCUCCAGAGCAGGUGAUCCUGGCUGUCUGUCCUGGGGACACUGACACCGAGGGUGGCUGUGUCAGCUCAUAGGAGGCAACAGAGCCUGCAGGAGAGGACAGGAGAGGGGGCUUGAAGAUAACAAACCCAUUCCAGUGGUGUCACCCUGGGGCUCUGCCUGGGCUGAGCUCAGGGUUCCGGGCAGGACAAGCUCAGAGGCUUAAGAGGGCUGAGCCUGGGGCAGGGCCUGGGGGCAGCACCUGUGUAGAGGGUGAGGAGCGGGAGCAGGAGUGUGGUCCAGGCCAUGGUGAGACACCCAGAACUCUGCCUCCUGAGCCUGCAGCACAGCUGGGCUCCCCAGUCCUCUCUUAUUUCCUCUCAGGUCCACUGGAGCAGUGCAUCCUUGGUGUUUAUGCAAAUUUACUUCUCUGGGACUCCUCAUGGUGGGAUAUCUGUCAAGCCAGCUCUGGGGCAGCACAAGAAAGUAAGAAAGAAGGAAUGAGUCCCCAACUUCCUUCAUCUGCUUCUCUAGUCAGAAAAUCAGCUUUGGCCUCCGAGGCCUGUGAUCACAGUCACCUGCCUGGGUAUUGACAACAUGGUUGCUGUCUCAAACCUCUGUGUCAUGUGAUCUCUCCUAGGCUGCAUUGAGCAGGGCUGUAGACCUUCCAGGAGCCUGGUCUGGGGCUGAGCUGGGCCCUGCUGAGAGAUCAUUGAUGACACCUGACUCAGCAGCAAGUGCACCAAAGAUGCGUCAUCUUUCUCCUCUUUCAUCUCCGCUCCGGAUGCCCCAGAAUCACUUGGCCCCAUCCUGGGUCCCCGGGUCAUGGUCUCUGCACAGGACAUGAGCUCCAGAAGGUGUGUGUUCAGUAGUUCCUCCAGCCAUGCGGAUCCUGUCACUGAUCAAGGGACAGCCCUGUGAUGAGAGCUGUGGACUGGGGCAGUGUUUGUGUCAGGAGGAUUUCUUCACUAGCCUAAUCUGUCUUCCUGACGAAACUGGGAUUCUUCUGCUUAUUCUCAGAUGGGGACCACUGUUCCUACCAUACAGAAAACAAGCUCUUUUUGACCACCUUUCUUGGGAUUCCUGCAGAGGAAUGACCUGGCCUUGCUUGGGACUUCCUGGUGCUGGGAGGAGAUGCCCAGUUCUGCAGAAACAGUCAGGACAAUCUGCUCGAGAUUGGCAAUUAGUUUUUGUCCUGUGGCAUGGACAAGUCUGGGGUCAGAGCCGUGGCCUGAGGCAGAGCACCUCAACCUCGGACGUCUCCCAGGGAAUCCCCUUCCUGAAGAAGCUGCCCAAGUUGACACCUGGGUUCAGCCUCCUCCAGCUGCAUUUCCCAGGUGAGGUCUUCACUGUGCCAGGCUUCUGUCAGUGUUCUGAGCUGACACCACUUGAGUCUGAUCCUUGGAACAUGGUCACUGCAGCCCGAAGGGAUGGGAUGAACUGUCUUCACUUUCAGUCUGAAGACUGAUUCUUGGACACCUGUUGAACCCCAGGCUGACCUUCCUCUUUGCCCCAGCUGGGCAGCCCCAGCCUCUCUCCUGACUGCUCCUGGCUGCAGCUCUGCUGACCCCAGUUGGUGGAGGAGACUCAGCCCAGGAGUUUUUUUCCUUCCAGGUGACCCAACAGCACCUGUCACCUCAGAAGUUGAAGACCAGAGAGUCCAGCUCCAUUCUGUGCCAGUGUGACCCAAUCUGCCCUGCCCAGUCCAGCACAGAGAGGUCACACAUGCGGUACAGUGAGGCGGUGCAGGUGAAAUUGCUAUAAAAGUGUCUCAGGGUUGAAAUGUCCUCCUCUAAUGGGUUUGUUCGGUCAGGACUUAUUAGAGUGAGUCAACUGAAGCUCUUCUGCAAUACUUUCAAAGUCCAGAGAGACGUGCAUGCCAUCCUACAGGGACGCAGCCCUUCUAUGCACUAAGGAAGCAAAGUGGUGCACCUCCCACCAGUAAGAGCAGCUAUGACUCACUGCCAUCAUCUGAUGUUUCCGGUUCUGCAGCUUAGUUAUGAGCUAACAUCACCAUCGUCGGCAUAUUAAUUUCAUGUUUAUCUUUAUUUCAUUCCACACCUCUCAGAGCUUGUGCCGGGAGGAUUUCUACCUUAGCCUGGUCUGUCUUGAUGAUGAAACUGGGACUCUCCUGCUUAUACUCAGUUCGGGAACGUAGUUGACAUCAUACAGAAGGCAAGCUCUUUUUGAGUCUCUUUCUUGGAACCCUGCAGAGGAAAGACAGAAGUUCCAUGGCUGAAGCCCAUUGGAGCCCAUUAAAAGACAGUCCCCUCAGCAGGCUUUAAUUCACAUGACUCAUUGUUUUUCUAUCUUGUAAUUUUGAAUGAAGAAAAGAGCUUCUUCACUUCAGUAUAAGCCUCCUCACUUCACAGCAGGUAACACUGAGGCCAAAAGAGACUAAGUGGCUCAGGAGAACAGAGAGCAGUGGGGGCAAAUCCAGGAGCUGACCCAGGUGUCCUGAGUUCUGAACCUAGGCCCUUUGAGGUGGAGCUUAACCAGGGUAAGGAGGGAGGGGGCAUGAUGGCCAGGCAGGCAGCAUGGCUGUGUCCCAUGGACAAACUUCCAUCCCCUAUCAUGGCCUGGGCAUCCUGAGAAGCCCACUUCAGCCUGCAGAAUGUGGGGGUUGUACGCAGGCUAGAGUUGGAGAAUCUGUGGGGAGUUGGGGCUGCUUUGGAUGCAGGGCCUGGCCUGGCUCCUGCUGGUUCUCUCUGCACUGUUGCCUGCUCCACUGUCUCCUGAGAAGGUGGGGGACAGGUGUCUCAUGGCCAGCUCUCCUGGGGGUAGCUGGGUCUUUACGAGACCACAGAGGAUUCAGGUUAAGGAGGCUUUGGGACUCAUUCUCAGGAUCCCAUCUCCUGAAGCAUCACCUGGGCUGAGCUCAGGGUAAGGACUAGGCUUAGGGUCCUGUGGGGGCUUAGCCUGGGGCAGCAUCUAUGCAAAGAGUAAGGAGAGGUAGCAGGUGAUGGGCCAAGGCCAGGGGGAGACAUCCUGGAGUUUUGUCUCUGGAACCCAUAGCUGAGGCUGGUUCCCAUCAUAUUCCCAAAAGUUCCCGUGAAAAUGCUCCCUCCAUCUCACUGGAUUGCAGAGAACUCAACAGGCUUCAGUGUGGGCUUCGUGGGUUUGGUUCACUGUGGAAUUCUUUUUCUUCUCAUAUCUCAUAUGGAAGUGAUUGUCACUGCUUAUUUGAAUAAUCUUGAAGGAAUGAUGGGAAUCACAGCCUGGUGUCAGGACACAAGUCAGGAAUCUUAGGAGGAUUUUGGUCUUACUUCCUCAUCGCUUGGGAUGUGUGCGACAGCAAUAAUGAUCAGUCUCACUGCUGGGAUCCCAGGGAGUCUCAAAGAAGCUCACUUGUCAGACUUCAAGCCUGAGAAUCAGUUUUUUGUCUCUUAGUUUUAAUCUUUGACCCCACACCUCAGCUGUGUGGGCCUCUACUGUGUUUCUCAUGGAACCAGGAGACAAAAUUGUUACCCCCAAUAUUGCUGCGGUUUCAGUAAAACAGAUGAUGACUGACUGCCAGGUGUUCAUGAAGUGGAGGGAGACUGAGUCAGAGCAGUCAGGACCCCAGUCCUGAGGGGAUGGACAAAUGUGGAGAUGAGCAAGUGAGUGACCAAACCUCAGGGUGCUAUGGCUUUGAUCUUUGUCUCCUCCAAAUCUUAUGUUGAAGCUGGAUCCCCAGUGUUGGAGGUGGGAACUAAUGGGAGCUUUUAGGGUGAUGGGAGUGGAUCUCUCAUGAAUAGUUUAAUGCCCUCACUUGGGGUGAGUGAAUUCCCACUGUUUUCACAAGAGCUAGUUAUUUAAAAGAGCCUGGCAUCUUCCCCUUCUCUCUUGCUUCCUCUCCCCCCAUUGACGUCAGCACACACUGGCUCCCCUUCACCUUUCACCGUGACGGAAAUUGCCUGAGGUCUUCAGCAAGAGCAGGUGCCACACCUUGAACUUUACAGCCAUUGGAACUGUGAGCCAAAUAAACCUUUUAUUUUCUCUAUAAAUUACCCAGUCUUGGGUACUUCUUUAUAGUAACAGAAAAAGAUCUAAGACACAAGGGGAGGAGUGAGAAGUGACCUGUGCUUCUGCAAUGUGCUCUCCUUGUGUGAGUCUCCUCUGAGGCUUGAGUGAGCUGGGUGAAUAAGAGCUAAGCCACUCAAAGUGUGGUGCUUGGAGGACCAGCAGCAUCAGCCUCACCUGGGAGUUGCUGGACACAGAGAAUUUGGGGCCACAUCCAGAACUGUUGAGGCUGCAUCUGUACCUUAACCAGACCCCUCAGGGGCUUGUAUGUCCACUAGAAUCUCUGCUCUAAGCCACAAUGAAAAAUCUCACUUCCUCUACUUUUGACAACAAGCCCUUGUCUCCCCAAGUCCUUCUGAGGCCACCUGGGUCUGGUGCUUAAGAGGCCUGGACUCAUCAAACUGAGUUGGAUUCACAUGCUUGACCCUGUCAUGAUAUGCAAAAAAAAAAAAAAAUUAAAAAUGGGCAUUUUUACAAUUCACAUGGGUGGUGUGUUGGGGAGGAGAAAAUAUUUUAAUGAGAUAUCCAGAGAGAAAUACAUGGCUUAUGCCAUUUUUUUUUUGUUCUCACUCAUCUCCAGUAAGUCUUAUUUCUCAGACAUAUUAUGUUCUGUUCUGUGUUCCAACCGCCAUGUUUUUUUCUCUUUGAAAGCUUUCCUGUGUUUAUCCCUAUUCUUCACCAAAAACCAGCCUAAAUGCUACCUAUCCUAUCAGUUCCCCGUACUCACCAUUUGUCAAGGAAGUGGUCUCUGACCAUUAGAACAUUUGGAAAUGCAGAAUA